GCCUUUGUUCUAAAAUCACAUACUUUCUGACAGAACUUGCUGUAAGUCCUAACAACAACCUGGUGAACAUCUAUGAGAAGAAAGGCAAAGACUGGGUCAAGAUCCAUGAGCUGACGGAGCACAGUGGACGGAUCACAGGUAUUGAUUGGGCACCAGUGUCAAAUCGUAUUGUGACCUGUGCCUCUGACCGCAAUGCCUACGUCUGGACUCUGAAGGAUGGAGUGUGGAAGCCUACCCUAGUCCUGGUGCGCAUCAACCGGGCAGCCACCUGCG